GGCUUAAUUAAACUUUGAUUUGAUUAAUUAAAUAAAUUCAGGGACUUAGUUGAAAUUUAUCCAAAAAGGGCAAAAUUGAAAGAAUUAAUUAAGGACCAAAUUGAAUAAUCCAAGAAUUAAGGACUGUUUUGUAAACAGUGCAUCAAUUUAGGGAUUUCAUUGAAAUUUAUCCAAUAAAAGGGCAAAAUUAAAAGAAAUUUUUAUUUGUUUAGGGGUCCAAUUGCGAAAUUCCAGAGACAGGGGUCAAAUUGAAAAUUCUUAUUUUCUGCUGAAACGGCACCGUUCCUAGAAACAGUCGUGCGUCUUCUCCAUUCCCGCUUCAACAGGGGAGCUGAUAAUCCUCAACAAAUCUGAUCUUGGACCACGUCUCUUGCCCAUGAUCUCGGUGGUGGAGGCAUAAACACAGUCCUGCAAAGAUCGGACGCAGGGGGAGCGUUUAGCUUGGCUAUAAAAAGGAAGAAGAAAACCCAUAACGGAGGGAAAAAACCAAGAAAAAAACAAAAGAGAAACCCAGAAUUCCCAGAAAAAAAAACAGAGCAAACAAAAAUAGAACCAUAAAAAAGGAUAUACAGAGAAGAACAGAAACAUCAACCCAAAACAGAGAAAAGACAGUAAAAAAAAAAAAAAAACAAGGUAUAAACCGAAUACACAUACACAGAAAAGGAGAGAAAGGAAGAGGGGAGUCACGGAUCAGCCCUAUUUUCGUCCUUGCAAGAAAACAAUUGAUCACCUCACCAUCGGCGAUCGAACCCACACCGGCGUUGCAACCUUCCUCACCAUCGCCAGAAACAGAAAAACAAUCGGACUUCACCAGCGUUGCAGUCUUCUUCGCAAUCUCCAGAAACAGGUGCGCUUGGUUCCAUUUGAUUUUGCCAUUUAGUGUUCAAAUAACGCAUGAACAGUGCGAAGGUAAUUUAAUUACCUUUGCACUGUUGAUGCACGCGUGAAAUC
rnacentral:lncRNA from 1 species